UGCGAUUAAAGUUCGAUUUUUCAGCAUUGUCUGCCAACUAUCCAGAAUAUAGUUUUUGACAUCAAAGGUGAAACAUUAAAUCAGAAGAAAAUAAAAAUAAAAAAAUUCUCGUGUUGAUGUUACGCAGAAUCGGUACAAGGUAUAUAAGGAAAGUAUCUUCGAAAUAUUCUUCGCCCUUGAUUUGCAAGAAAUUCAUUUCUGAAUUUGCAAGAAAUUAAGGGCAUUUCUGCAGUCAUCCGUCUUCUUAUCUCCUUCAGAGUUUUAGGGUUUCUGAUUAUAUCUUUCCGGUGACCGUAGUAGAGGGUUUGAACCUGUGAUUUGGUCUCGAAUUCCAUGUUGUUAGCCACAAGUUGAGGUUUAUAUAAGAUGGAGAUGAGUGUAGUGGGGUUUGACAUCGGAAAUGAGAAUCUGGUUAUAGCAGUAGCUAAGCAACGAGGAAUUGAUGUCUUAUUGAAUGAUGAGUCAAAACGAGAAAACCCGGCAGUGGUUUCGUUUGGGGAAAAGCAGAGGUUUCUGGGUUCUGCUGGGGCUGCAUCUGCAACUAUGCAUCCCAAGUCGACUGUAUCUCAGGUCAAGAGGUUAAUUGGUCGGAAUUUUAGUGAACCUUCUGUGCAGGAUGACCUAAGAUUGCUACCAUUUGAGACAUCGGAGGGACCUGAUGGAGGAAUCCUGAUUCACCUGCAAUACUUGAAUGAAAGACACACUUUUACCCCUGUACAGAUAUUGGCAAUGCUGUUCGCACACCUAAAGCAGAUCGCAGAGAAAAAUCUUGAGAUGCAGAUUUCCAAUUGUGUAAUUGGUGUACCAUGUUACUUCACGGCUUUGCAGAGACGUGCAUAUUUGCAUGCAGCGGAGAUUGCAGGGUUGAGUCCAGUAAGGUUGAUGCAUGACUGUACUGCUGUUGGACUGGGUUAUGGUAUAUACAAAUCAGAGUUCCCAAACGGGGGUCCAGCAAAUGUUGUGUUCGUAGAUGUUGGUCACAGUGAUACACAAGUUUCUGUGGUGUCAUUUGAACCUGGGCAUAUGAAGGUAUUAUCCCAUGCAUUUGACAGCAACUUAGGAGGAAGAGACUUUGAUGAAGUUCUGGUUAAACAUUUUGCUGCCCUGUUUAGGGAACAAUACAAUAUUGAUGUUUAUUCAAGUACUCGGGCUUCUAUAAGGCUGAGAGCAGCUUGUGAGAAAUUGAAGAAAGUUUUGAGUGCUAACCCAGAGGCACCGCUGAAUAUUGAGUGCUUGAUGGAAGAGAAAGACGUCAAAGGAUACAUCAAAAGAGAUGAGUUUGAGCAAUUGGCUUCUGCAUUGCUGGAAAGGAUUAGCAUUCCAUGUCGCAAGGCUUUGCUUGAAUCAGGUUUGAGUGUUGAGAAUAUUCACACUGUUGAGCUUGUCGGGUCAGGUUCUCGGAUACCUGCCAUUACAAAGAUGGUAAAUUCACUUUUUAGAAAGGAGCCUGGCAGGACUCUGAAUGCGAGUGAGUGUGUCGCUCGUGGCUGUGCCCUUCAGUGUGCAAUGUUAAGCCCCAUAUUCCGAGUGAGAGAGUAUGAGGUAGAGGACUGCUUUCCUUUCUCAAUUGCAUUUGGAUCAGAUGAAGGGGCAGUUCACUUAGCUGAUGGACAGUUGUUUCCUAAAGGCAAUUUUUUUCCAAGUACGAAGAUUCUUACAUUGUACAGAAAUGAUAUAUUUCACAUGGAAGCUUACUAUGCAAAUCAAAAUGAGUUGCCUUCUGGCGUCUCAACAAGAAUCAGCUCUUAUACGAUUGGGCCAUUCAGAGUUCCCAAUGAGAGAAGGACAAAGAUUAAAGUCAAAGUUCAGCUAAAUCUGCAUGGAAUUGUCUCUAUAGAUUCUGCCUCUGUAAGUCUGGUAGGCGAUCAUGUGGACGAUUCUUCUGGAAACAACAAUAUUGAUGCCCAUUCAAAUUUAGAGCCUAGCAAUUCUGAGUCAUCUAAGAAAUCAAAUGGUCCUCUUGGUCAUGAGAUCAGACGGCUAAAGGCUGUCAGACGAGAGAACAUACUUGUUGAUGAGAAUAUAUAUGGUGGAAUGGCACCUGAUGAGCUCUACCGAGCUCAACAGAAAGAGCUACAGUUUGCUCAGCAAGACAUAAAGAUGGAAAGGACCAAAGAGAAGAAAAAUGCACUGGAGGCUUAUGUAUAUGAAACGCGAAACAAGCUUUUAGAUACAUACCGGAGCUUUGUCACUGAUUUUGAAAAAGGCACAAUUUCCAGUAACUUGCAACAAACUGAAGAGUGGAUUUAUGGAGAUGGAGAUGAUGAGUCAGAAUUUGUCUAUACUGAAAGGUUACAGGAUUUGAAAAAGAUGGUCGAUCCAAUUGAAAAUCGAUAUAAAGAUGAGGCAGCCAGGGAACAGGCAACUAGAAACCUAUUGAACUGCAUCAAGGAGUUUCGGAUGGCUGUAGGAUCACUUUCACCAAGUGCAAGAGAUGCAGUUAUUGGAGAGUGCAAUAAAGCAGAGCUGUGGCUCCAAGAGAAAAGACUGCAGCAAGAUUUACUGCCUAAGAAUGCAGAUCCAGUACUUUGGUCCAGUGAAAUAACAAGGAAAGCUGAUGCUUUACAUGCGGUGUACAAACAUGCGACGGAAUCCAAGCACGACAAAGAAUCAGACGUGAGAAGUAAAGGGGAUGAUAUGGAAGUUGAUUGACGUGUCUUUGAACAGGACUUUGAUUCUACAAACCAAGUCCAGGAAAGCUGUUGUUGUGGAUUUAUGGUGUUUUUGCAUCGUCGGCCAUCCUUCUCAUCCAAAAUCUUAGCUGUUUGCUGAAACCUUCAACAGUUGACAUAGUUGAGGUUCACUUUAAGUGAGACCAUAGCAUAUCAGUUUGCCCAUUGCGAAUCAUUUUUCAAUGAGUGCUACUUUAUAUAGGGAGAUGAAUAAUAUGGUGUGGUGCUUUUAUCAGGAGUGGCAUAAUUAAGCUACAUAUAUGGUGUGUAUCAUCAGUUCUGGUGUUGAUGGAAACACAGGCAUCAUAAACUUGUCCAACCACUUUUAGUCCUUCACCAGCAGAGGCUCUUUAAUAUCCUGCCACUUGUCCAAACGUUUCUUGGCUUUCUCCACCUGCACCACUACUGCUGUAAAUGUGGAUGCAUGCACAAGUUUUAUUUGACAUGAACAUGCAUACCUCUUUAUUCCAGUCCGUACGGAAAGUGACCCACAGUAGGAUGAAAGUUUGCAUCAUCGUCCCUCCGAUCAUGCCGCCCCAGAUGCCCUGCCCACUCAUAUCCCAUUUCUUGCUUAGGAAUAGGAUUAGUAUUAUUUAUAUAUGUAACUGUAAUGUUCUUACCUUAA